GUGAAGUUCCUGGAGGAGGAGGAGGGGUAGCUUGGAUCUCUAACAUUCCGGCCUUUAAUAGGUCAUAAAGGAAGAGGGCAACGUUAUCAUCUGACUGCUUGUAGCUGUGGAAGGGCGGCGUAGAAGAGGAAAGGCUGGGGGUUUCGGAUGGUUGUUUUUGAAGCCAUCAGUAUUCUUGAAGAAGCAGCAUAUCUUGAACUGUCCUAUGGGUGAAGGCUUUGAUGUGGUCCUGUAAAAACUGGGAAGAUUUGGAGGAUCAUCUGAAUACCCAUCCAACAGAGAUCCAUGAUUCAUGUAUUUCUCAAGACAGCCAUACACUAAAAUUAUAAGAUCAUAAGAAUAUUAAUUAUAUUCUACCAAUGCAAUACAAGCAUUGAAAUGGAUGGCAUCUGAUCCUGCUUCAUGUGAUUCUUCAUUUAGCUCUGGACUCUUUACAUCAUUAAGGUACCCUGAAUAUAUUCAGUAUGGCUUUUUCUUUGCAGGAAUUUAAAAGCAACCCUAUGAAUAUAACAUUUGUCAAAAAGAGCAAGUGCCAAGCCAGUUGAGAAUAACCUUACAAUGUGUACAAGGAUUCCAGUUCUGCUGCUAUAUAAACCAGCCUCAAAUAGUCUGAGUCUGUGAUAUCACUGGGUCACCCCCAUCACUUCAGUAGAAGGCCUGCCACUGCCUGACAUGUGAAAGAGAGCAUCCAGGAUAAGCCACCUGUCAAACUGUCAACUUUAUGCAGAUAUACAAGUGACAGGUUUGAGAUCAGCCCAGCCCAGUCAACAGAGAAAUAUCCCAGUAGAAUCAUUAUAUAAUUAAAUAACAUUAAAAAAAAAAAAAAAAGAAAAACUAAGU
ensembl:lncRNA LINC02064 long intergenic non-protein coding RNA 2064